CCUACGGGAGGCAGCAGUAGGGAAUUUUCGUCAAUGGGCGCAAGCCUGAACGAGCGAUGCCGCGUGAGUGAAGAAGGCCUUCGGGUCGUAAAGCUCUGUUGCGGGGGAAAAAAGGCAGCAUUAGGAGAUGGGUGCUGACUGAUGGUGCCCCGCCAGAAAGUCACGGCUAACUACGUGCCAGCAGCCGCGGUAAUACGUAGGUGGCGUGCGUUAUCCGGAAUGAUUGGGCGUACAGGGUGCGCAGGCGGGCAUGCAAGUCUGGAGUGCAACGUAUGCGCUAAACUCAUGCAUGGCUUUGGAAACUGGAGGACUUGAGAGAAGGAGAGGGAGGCGGAACUCCAAGUGUAGCGGUAAAAUGCGUAGAUAUAUGGAAGAACACCAGUGGCGAAGGCGGCCGGCUGGCCUGUUGCUGACGCUGAGGCACGAAAGCGUGGGGAGCAAAUAGGAUUAGAUACCCGAGUAGUC
rnacentral:rRNA from 1 species